ACUACUGAAAACACAGACCAAAGACCACCACGCUUUAUUACCGAGAAAAAUAAAAACAGAAAUAAAAAAAGCAAAGAAAAACCGUUAAUGGUGUCACAAAGAAAGAGAAGGGAGAGAUAUAACUGUGGAAAUCAAACCAAAGCUAGCAUACAGAGCUGCAGUUUCAAUCAAAAAAGAAAGAAAAAAAAUAGAGAGCUGCAGAAGCAGAAGUGAAUUGCAUGUGGAGGGCAGCUCAUCGGCUCCUAAAAAGAAAAGGCAUUCGGAGGAGGGAACAAACGGAUUUUGUAGUCUCCCAAGGGAUCUUCUCCUCCUUCCUUACAACCCAUCAUUAUUCUUCUCCCACUGUUGCUCAUGGACAAAUGUACUAUAUUGGAGGUCCACUGAUAGGCCUGGUGGGCACCCAUAUGUAUAUAGGUGGUCAAUUGUGAAUUAAUAUGCACUCUCUAAUAUAUUGUAAUGGUACGUACUUAUUAGUACAAGAAAUUGUUUCUUGUAAAACUUGAGUAAGAGUAUCCUAUCACAUCAUGACAAUUUGUAUUUUGAAUUUAGUUAACUUCAGUGGCGGAGUCGGAGUUUUAUAACAAUAGGGUCAUAAUUUUGGUACAAAAAAAAAACUUCAUUGAAUCAUUUCGUCGAGCUUCUGGUGGGUACCCUUUGAGUUAUGUUGCGUUCUUCUGAGGCCUAUCAAGUGAGGUUUUUUUUUAUCAAAUGUUGUUGCACAUCAUAAGGUCGCAUACAAGAAAUAGAAAAAGAUGACAAAAGAAAGAAAGAAGAAAAUCUACAACUGUACAUAAGAAGCCGCAGCUGUAUAUAUGGGUCAUACACAAAUAUAUAUAUAUAUGUAAAAAUAUAAUGGAUGUAUUAAGCUAUUUACCUAUGAUCCCAUACUCCGCCACUGAUUAACACUAUUAUGAUUUCUUUUAGUGUGAGAAUUGCGCUAGUUAAUAACCUUAACUAACCAAAUUUGUUUCCUACAACAAUGUGUAGGAAUUAUCAUUUUAUGUAUCUUACAUGUAAAAGUGAUGUACAGUAAUUAAACAAAAGAAACAUUCACACAGUUGUGAGUGUGAGGGAAAACAAGAUGACAGGAAUGGAGACUGGUUUGAGUAGUCAAGGUAGGGAUAGGUGGCGAGUGGGUCCCACUCACCCACACCAAUUGUCACAGACCAGUGAUGAGGCAGUGACCACACCCAGCAGGCCACAGCCCACCCCCACCACCAUCGGACAACACAAGAGAUUCCAGUUUGAAAGAACAUGAAGGAAACCCAAAGCGCACUAAAGGCUUAAAGCUUAGAGAGAAAGAAGCCUCCUCCACCUGUUUCCAUUUUAGAGAGAGAGAGAGAGAGAGAGAGAGAGAGAGGAUUAUGGGGACCAGCUGAGCAUCAAAUCCAAGCCAACUGUAUCCAUCACAGGCUGACCACCGUUGCAAUUCAUGCAAUUUGCAGUCGACAGACAAAGAUCUCACUCCCCAUUUCCAUCGUCUUGCAAUGGAUUUUCUCUCUAUUUAGUUAAUUUAUAAAAUCAUUUAUAUGAGCACCUAUUUCGAUUGA